rnacentral:sRNA from 1 species
AGGGAAGAAACAGUGCUGGGAGAACUGAGGGAGAGCAGGGAAGGCUCCCUGGAGGAGGUGUCUGUGAGUAGGCCUGGACAAAUGAGUAGGAAGUAUGUUCCCAGAAGUAAGAAAUGCUGCAUCCUCUCCCACUCAAAGACUCGAGCUGGGGCCCCUGCACCCCCCACCCCUGACAGAUGUGAUUUCAACUUGUGGACUGAUCAGAGGUGCCAUAUUGACAUGAGGAGACAUGAUUUCUGCAGUGAGCUUUCUUUUGCUGCAACCACGCCUGUUCUAGCCGAUAAGAAAAAAUACCCUUAUUUCUUUCGGACCGUCCCAUCAGACAAUGCGGUGAAUCCAGCCAUUCUGAAGUUGCUCAAGCACUACCAGUGGAAGCGCGUGGGCACGCUGACGCAAGACGUUCAGAGGUUCUCUGAGGUGCGGAAUGACCUGACUGGAGUUCUGUAUGGCGAAGACAUUGAGAUUUCAGACACCGAGAGCUUCUCCAACGAUCCCUGUACCAGUGUCAAAAAGCUGAAGGGGAAUGAUGUGCGGAUCAUCCUUGGCCAGUUUGACCAGAAUAUGGCAGCAAAAGUGUUCUGUUGUGCAUACGAGGAGAACAUGUAUGGUAGUAAAUAUCAGUGGAUCAUCCCGGGCUGGUACGAGCCUUCUUGGUGGGAGCAGGUGCACACGGAAGCCAACUCAUCCCGCUGCCUCCGGAAG